CCUACGGGCGGCAGCAGUGAGGAAUAUUGGUCAAUGGACGAGAGUCUGAACCAGCCACGUAGCGUGAAGGAUGAAUGCCCUAUGGGUUGUAAACUUCUUUUAUGUGGGAAUAAAAUGUUCCACGUGUGGGAUUUUGUAUGUACCAUAUGUAUAAGGAUUGGCUAACUCCGUGCCAGCAGCCGCGGUAAUACGGAGGAUCCGAGCGUUAUCCGGAUGUAUUGGGUUUAAAGGGAGCGUAGGUGGAUUGUUAAGUCAGUUGUGAAAGUUUGCGGCUCAACCGUAAAACUGCAGUUGAAACUGGCAGUCUUGAGUACAGUAGAGGUAGGCGGAAUUCGUGGUGUAGCGGUGAAAUGCGUAGAUAUCACGAAGAACUCCGAUUGCGAAGGCAGCUCACUGGACUGCAACUGACACUGAGGCUCGAAAGUGUGGGGAUCAAACAGGAGUAGAUACCCUGGUAGUC
rnacentral:rRNA from 1 species